AGAGUUUGAUCCUGGCUCAGGAUGAACGCUAGCGGCAGGCUUAACACAUGCAAGUCGAGGGGUAACAGGGAGAAGCUUGCUUUUCCGCUGACGACCGGCGCACGGGUGCGUAACGCGUAUAGAACCUACCUUUUACAGGAGAAUAGCCUUUAGAAAUGAAGAUUAAUGCUCCAUAGUAUCAUUGAAUGGCAUCGUUUAAUGAUUAAACAUUUAUGGGUAAAAGAUGGCUAUGCGUUCUAUUAGCUAGUAGGUAAGGUAACGGCUUACCUAGGCGACGAUAGAUAGGGGCCCUGAGAGGGGGAUCCCCCACACUGGUACUGAGACACGGACCAGACUCCUACGGGAGGCAGCAGUGAGGAAUAUUGGGCAAUGGAGGCAACUCUGACCCAGCCAUGCCGCGUGCAGGAAGACGGCCCUAUGGGUUGUAAACUGCUUUUAUAUAGGAAGAAACCUUUCCACGUGUGGGGAGCUGACGGUACUAUAUGAAUAAGCACCGGCUAACUCCGUGCCAGCAGCCGCGGUAAUACGGAGGGUGCAAGCGUUAUCCGGAAUCAUUGGGUUUAAAGGGUCCGUAGGCGGAUUAAUAAGUCAGAGGUGAAAUCCCACAGCUUAACUGUGGAACUGCCUUUGAUACUGUUAGUCUUGAGUUAUAUGGAAGUAGAUAGAAUGUGUAGUGUAGCGGUGAAAUGCUUAGAGAUUACACAGAAUACCGAUUGCGAAGGCAGUCUACUACGUAUAUACUGACGCUAAUGGACGAAAGCGUGGGGGAGCGAACAGGAUUAGAUACCCUGGUAGUCCACGCCGUAAACGAUGGACACUAGUUGUUGGARUUAUUCAGUGACUAAGCGAAAGUGA
rnacentral:rRNA from 1 species